AGAGGGGGCAAGCGUUGUUCGGAAUUACUGGGCGUAAAGGGCGCGUAGGCGGCCUUCUAAGUCGAACGUGAAAUCCCCGGGCUCAACCCGGGAACUGCGUCCGAGACUGGAAGGCUCGAAUCCGGGAGAGGGAUGUGGAAUUCCAGGUGUAGCGGUGAAAUGCGUAGAUAUCUGGAGGAACAUCGGUGGCGAAGGCGGCAUCCUGGACCGGUAUUGACGCUGAGGCGCGAAAGCCAGGGGAGCAAACGGGAUUAGAUACCCCGGUAGUCCUGGCCCUAAACGAUGAAUGCUUGGUGUGGCGGGUAUCGAUCCCUGCCGUGCCGAAGCUAACGCAUUAAGCAUUCCGCCUGGGGAGUACGGUCGCAAGGCUGAA
rnacentral:rRNA from 1 species